CCCCAAUGGGUUCUCCGGAUUUCUGGAGACUUGUAGGGGUUGUGGGAUUUUUGAUGUGUCGUCUCCGGACGGGCGGUGCAGGGUAGUCGAGUUAGACUUGGUGGAAUUCCGUCGAUAGGAGUUCCGUCGAGUCUGGUCGGCUGUGUGUUGGACGGUGCAGGGUAGGCUGCUUGGACAUGGUCGGUUCGAGGAUCGAUUCGAGGGCCGGCGCCUGUCGAUGAUGUGUGAUGUAUGCGGUCUAGGGUAGGCUGGUUUGUCUUGGUCCAAUUUGAUGUCGGCUCCCGUGCAGGCCAGAGUGAAGGGGGGUCCAGGGUAGGUACAGGGUAGGCAGCUUAUAUUUGGUCGGUCUGGAGGUCGAUUCUCUGGCUGGCGGAUCUGACACUGUCGAAACGAGAUGCGAGCGGUGUAGGGUAGGCUAGUUCCGUCCUCGCCAGGUUGCGAUUUGGACGAGAUAUGUGGUUUAGGGUAGGCUCUAGGGUAAGUAGAAUUCGAGUUUCGUCGCCGAUAGUUUUCUGUGUGUGUAUGGUAGGUGCAGGGUAGGCAAAUCUCUCUCUGGCCAGUACUUGUCUGGUGGUCGUGAGUCGAUUUUUUUGUUUUGCCAUACUAUUGAAUUUUGCGGAAAUUCAAAAGUGGCUCGGGAGUCCUGCCUGGCGUGCGUCCGACUCGAACAUCGUCGGUGUACAUAUGAGAGGGAGUAAUCCGGCCCGGCCGGGGCCCAUCGCGAGCUGCAGGGUAGGUAAAAGUAAAAAAGUUGUUAAGAGGCGCGGUGUCGGCGUGCUUGUAUUUGCGGGAGAGAAUUAUCUGGAGGUGCUGGGUAGCCGGGAAGACUUGGAUGGAUCUGGCCCGGGAAUGGGUCUGCGCCUGGAUUCUGGUGUGGUGUAGGGUAGGCGUAGAUAGAUGAGUGGUCUAGGGUAGGUACAGGGUAGCUAGAAGUCUGGUAUAUAGUAUUGGGGGGGUGUAGGGUAGGUCUGGGCACUGUUUUCCGCUUCGCCCUUCCCUUUACUCGAGGGGAGGACGAUCUUGGCUGGGACGGAGGUGUAGGGUAGGCUUAAUUUACGAUUACAUGAUCUGCGUCACUCUAGGGUAGCUGAAAAUCUUAUAUGUAUCUGGUCACAUUUGGUGAAGAGGUUGGGUUUGGAUGGUGAGAUGAACAAAAGUGCAAUGUAGAAUUGUAUAUGAUUUUGCAAAGUGGGUGUGAAAUUGGAAAGU
rnacentral:misc_RNA from 1 species